GCCCGCCGAAGACACCCCCGAACUCUGCCUGAAGAUUGUCGUCUGAGUGAAAAUAUAAAUUAUUUAAAACUUUCAACAACGGAUCUCUUGGUUCCGGCAUCGAUGAAGAACGCAGCGAAAUGCGAUACGUAAUGUGAAUUGCAAAUUCAGUGAAUCAUCGAGUCUUUGAACGCACAUUGCGCCCCCUGGUAUUCCGGGGGGCAUGCCUGUCCGAGCGUCAUUGCUGCCCUCAAGCCCGGCUUGUGUGUUGGGCCCCGUCCUCCGAUUCCGGGGGACGGGCCCGAAAGGCAGCGGCGGCACCGCGUCCGGUCCUCGAGCGUAUGGGGCUUUGUCACCCGCUCUGUAGGCCCGGCCGGCGCUUGCCGAUCAACCCAAAUUUUUAUCCAGGUUGACCUCGGAUCAGGUAGGGAUACCCGCUGAACUUAAG
rnacentral:rRNA from 1 species